GGCAGUGAAAGAUGCAGGAAUGAGGAAUGGAGGAGUGCAUGAGAAGAUUGUGCAAGAAAAAGGCAGAACAACGGGAGUGAAAAAAUCAUCAGAAAUGAUGACUUUGCAGAAGUACACUCCACUGUCGCCCCACUGCAGCUCCCCGAUACGCAGGUCCGCUUCUGCACAGAGACAGGAAACAAGUGCUCAGCCAGCGUCAUGGAUUUUCCCUGCGCCGAGGCCACAACCCGAACUGUGCGGCUGCUGUCGGAGCACUCCAGGUGGGACGUGGCACCCAGCUCAGAGGCGUGGACGCCCAGACUCUCGGGCAGGCUGAAG